rnacentral:tRNA from 1 species
GGAAAUAUGACUGACAAAAGAAUUAAUUUGACAGAGUAAACAAUAGAGGUUAAAAUCCUCUUAUUUCUA